AUACGUAGGGUGCAAGCGUUAAUAGGAAUUACUGGGCGUAAAGCGUGCGCAGGCGGUUUUGUAAGAAAGGGGAGCAAUCCCCGGGGUCAACCUGGGAACUGCAAUUGGGACUGCAAGGCUGGAGUGAGGCACUGGGGGGUGGAAUUCCGCGUGUAGCAGUGAAAUGCGUAGAUAUGCGGAGGAACACCGAUGGCGAAGGCAAUCCCCUGGGCCUGCACUGACGCUCAUGCACGAAAGCGUGGGGAGCAAACAGGAUUAGAUACCCUGGUAGUCCACGCCCUAAACGAUGUCAACUGGUUGUUGGGGAUUUAUUUUCUCAGUAACGAAGCUAACGCGUGAAGUUGACCGCCUGGGGAGUACGGCCGCAAGGUUAAAACUCAAAUGAAUUGGCGGGG
rnacentral:rRNA from 1 species